UACGUAGGGUGCAAGCGUUAAUCGGAAUUACUGGGCGUAAAGCGUGCGCAGGCGGUUUUGUAAGUCUGACGUGAAAUCCCCGGGCUUAACCUGGGAAUUGCGUUGGAGACUAGGCUGGAGUCUGGCAGAGGGGGGUAGAAUUCCACGUGUAGCAGUGAAAUGCGUAGAGAUGUGGAGGAACACCGAUGGCGAAGGCAGCCCCCUGGGUCAAGACUGACGCUCAUGCACGAAAGCGUGGGGAGCAAACAGG
rnacentral:rRNA from 1 species